rnacentral:ncRNA from 5 species
UUCGAUGUCGGCUCUUCCUAUCA